rnacentral:rRNA from 1 species
AGCUAAUACCGCAUAACGUCGCAAGACCAAAGAGGGGGACCUUCGGGCCUCUUGCCAUCGGAUGUGCCCAGAUGGGAUUAGCUAGUAGGUGGGGUAACGGCUCACCUAGGCGACGAUCCCUAGCUGGUCUGAGAGGAUGACCAGCCACACUGGAACUGAGACACGGUCCAGACUCCUACGGGAGGCAGCAGUGGGGAAUAUUGCACAAUGGGCGCAAGCCUGAUGCAGCCAUGCCGCGUGUAUGAAGAAGGCCUUCGGGUUGUAAAGUACUUUCAGCGGGGAGGAAGGGAGUAAAGUUAAUACCUUUGCUCAUUGACGUUACCCGCAGAAGAAGCACCGGCUAACUCCGUGCCAGCAGCCGCGGUAAUACGGAGGGUGCAAGCGUUAAUCGGAAUUACUGGGCGUAAAGCGCACGCAGGCGGUUUGUUAAGUCAGAUGUGAAAUCCCCGGGCUCAACCUGGGAACUGCAUCUGAUACUGGCAAGCUUGAGUCUCGUAGAGGGGGGUAGAAUUCCAGGUGUAGCGGUGAAAUGCGUAGAGAUCUGGAGGAAUACCGGUGGCGAAGGCGGCCCCCUGGACGAAGACUGACGCUCAGGUGCGAAAGCGUGGG